UUCCACUAUUUUAUUAUUUAGUAAAAGAUUUGGGAGUAAUAAGACCAUAAUGGAUUUUAUUUGGAAAGUGUAUUUGGUGUAAUUUGAGAACCAUAAAAUAUAUAUGUAUUUGGCCUACCUUGUCUUUUAAUUUAUCUCACUUCUACUACCAGCUUGAAUUAGAUUCAUCCUAAAUUGAAGUAUACUACCUAAUUGGCUACAUGGUAGGGGUAUAGUUUCCAUUCCUGCAAAUUUGUGUCGGCACAAAUCUCCAAAUUUGUAGGAAUGGAAACAUCCUGGCUCAAGUCGCGGCACAAAUUUGUGCCCGCUGACUGUGCGACAAAACAUGUGCCCGGGCCGCGGGCACAUGUGCCUGCAACUCGUGCAUGCAGCAGGUCCUCCAAACUACCGCAUGCUCAUAAAUGACAGGUAAUCAUAACCUCAAAUUUCGUUGAGUCCGUUGGAGGAAAUUUUCGAAGCCACUUUGUAUGCGCAAAUCUCUCAUCAAUUGAUUAAAUGCACCUUCCAAUGCUCUUUUAGCCAAAAAACUUCUUAUCCACUAUCUAGGUAGUUUUCUUCUAAGUUCAUUGUAUGCACCAGCCAUAAAUAAAAAAGCAGAGGCUGUUAUGUCAUCCAUGGUGAUUUGUAGAACACAAUAUAAUCAAAAUCAGCCACCGAACCUCACCACAUCACAAUAAAAGAGAACACUGCCUUGUCUACCAGUUGUAGUGGCGGGACUUGUGCCUGGAAUGGAAACGGCAUGACAAACUACGUGCGACAUGUGCCUCGUCAUGGUCACGACAUGUGCCUCGACUUGUGCCUGCGACUUGUAGGAAUGGAAAUGUAGCUUAAGGGUACUCACGGCGUAGUGCUUGAUAUCCUGACCCUAGAAAAGAUGACAUGCAGGCAGUGGUGGAUUUAGAACAGUCACAAGGGGGGGGGGACCAGGGUGUCUGAGAGGUUCGGGGGUACCCCCUCCCUCCCCAAAAAUUUGUUUAAACUAAGUCUUCAAAAAUGGCAGUUUUAUACCAUUUCUUUGUCCUAAGUUAGUGUGACAAAUUAUUUUACGCAAUUUGUAUGCACUACUGUAUUAAAUGCAGUCAAAAAUAUAUGACAUAUAUUUCCAAACUGCGACUGCCCCCCCCCCCUCUGGAUCCGCCACUGGGGUGCAGGAGUACUAUACCAGAAGAGCACAAAAUAUAGACUUUUCCUGCUGUCGUCUCAAACAUACCUAGAAUAGCUAUCCUCGUUCUACUAUUAACUACAAUUCAUAACUGCCUACUCAUUUGCAGGAGAUGGAUGCACCCUCCUUCAGAAGGCGCUGAAAGGAAUACUAAUUAUAGGCCGCUGUACUCCGUAGAAGAACUUAAGGAAGAGCACCUAGUGAGAUAAGUGUAUGUCUGCCAUAUCAUCCGUUAAACAGCCAGGUUUUUGAAGGAAGAAAGAUGUAGCCCCAGCUCUGGACAAAAAUAUUAUGGAGAAGGUUGGCCGCUGUACAGGGCAGCUAUAGUUAUUAUUAUAUGUUGCCUUUUAUUGUUAUGUACUGUUUUUAUACUUUACCAAUAAACCUUAUAUUUAUCUAGAGCA